rnacentral:rRNA from 1 species
ACGGGUGGUAUUAUCGGACGUGCCCAGUAUGGGGAAUACUUGCCGAAAGGUAGCUAAUACCGCAUACGACCUACGGGUGAAAGCAGGGGAUCUUAGGACCUUGCGUAUUGGAGCGGCCGAUAUCUGAUUAGCUUGUCUGUGGGGUAAAAGCCUACCAAGGCAACGAUCAGUAGCUGGUCUGAGAGGACGAUCAGCCACACUGGAACUGAGACACGGUCCAGACUCCUACGGGAGGCAGCAGUGGGGAAUUUUGGACAAUGGGGGAAACCCUGAUCCAGCCAUCCCGCGUGAGUGAAGAAGCCUUCGGGUUGU